CGGUCACAUUUCGGUGUGAUAGUGGCGGACGGGUGAGUACACGUAGUUACCUACCCUGAAGUGGGGAAUACCCCUCGAAAGAGGAGCUAAUACCGCAUACUCUCUCAGUCGUUAGAUUGAGAGGAAACCCGAAAGGGGCUUUAGGAUGGGACUGCGGCGGAUUAGCUAGAUGGUGGGGUAAAGGCCUACCAUGGCGACGAUCCGUAGCUGGUCUGAGAGGACGAUCAGCCACACUGGGACUGAGAUACGGCCCAGACUCCUACGGGAGGCAGCAGUGAGGAAUAUUCCACAAUGGGCGAAAGCCUGAUGGAGCGACGCCGCGUGGGGGAAGACGCCUUUCGGGGUGUAAACCUCUUUUCUCGGGGAUGAAACGUAGGGGUAACCCUACUAAGACAGUACCUGAGGAAUAAGCAUCGGCUAACUACGUGCCAGCAGCCGCGGUAAUACGUAGGAUGCAAGCGUUGUCCGGAUUUACUGGGCGUAAAGCGCGCGCAGGCGGAACACCAAG
rnacentral:rRNA from 1 species